GCACUUGCACAACAGGGAAACAGGAGUGUCAUCAAAAGUAAAUUCCAGCCGAGACAUUCUCUCCUAUAUGAGAAGCAAAAGCCUGGUGGGCCAGUUCCAGAUAUUUAUGGGAUGUUGCAAAAUUAUCUCAGAAGAGACCUUAAAGAACAUCUAGAUCGGCUGUAUUCAAACUGGUUUUGGCCACAGAACUCUUUCAUGAAGUGAAGUUUCACACAGAAGCCUAACAUAUAAAACAAAUACAGGUGGGACUUUGGAGAUACAUUUACUGAAAGGGGAGCACAACUGGAGCAGGUACAAAUGAAAAAACUUGGUAUUAUUUUGUUUUUGAACAACAGAGAAUUCCCUUUCAUGAAUCAGAUUUGGGUUAUGAAUCAAAAUCUGUAUCAGAUUUGGGUUACAAAGUAUCAUUUCUGUACAUUCUAUAUAAAGAGAAUAAAAUGAGAAUGAAGAUGCUUACCUUGCAGUGCUUCAGGGAGGAUUGGAAAUAAUUCAGUAAUGCCUGCAUAGAGCAGAAACACUGACAGCUGUCACUGUUGUUGUUGUUGUUACAACUUUUGUUUUCUCCUCCAGACUGUCCAUCCCUCCACUCCCAACCCUAGAUUACUUGUAACCUGUGCACUCUGACUUUGACUCGGCUCCUUAAUGUAGUCAGACCAUAUUUCUUCCUGAAACUUCCUCUAAUAUCUAGCUCUUCUUGGAGCCUUAGUGGUCUUGGAUCUGAAAACUGUCCUGUCAUCAUUAGUGGCUCAGGGCAUUAGAUUUUAAUUAGAACAAUAGCCUCUGCAAAAAUGUACAGUGAUUGGGCCCAGUUUGCUAAUGUGCCUUCAUCAGCAACACCAAAGUGACCUGCAAGGGAAAGUUGAAACAAAAAACAAACAUCUAGUAAAUAUAAUUUAUCAUUCCUUAUCUAGUCUAUUCCUUUGUUGGAAUAAGGCGUUUGUCAUCAUCAUCAUUAUAUUUGUAUGUUUGGAAUGCUGUCACAAAAUAGUAUAAACUGGGUGGCUUAAGCAACAUUAAUUUAUUUCCUCAUGGCACCUAAAGCAAGGUGCCAGCUGAUUUGGUUUCUCCUGUCCUGGCUUGCAGAUGACCACUUUCUUACUAUGUCCUCACGUUGCCUAUCCUCAGUGUGUGCAUGUGGAAGGAGAGAGAGCAGAAG
rnacentral:lncRNA from 1 species